AUUGAACGCUGGCGGCAGGCUUAACACAUGCAAGUCGAGCGGAGAUGAGGUGCUUGCACCUUAUCUUAGCGGCGGACGGGUGAGUAAUGCUUAGGAAUCUGCCUAUUAGUGGGGGACAACAUUACGAAAGGAAUGCUAAUACCGCAUACGUCAUACGGGAGAAAGCAGGGGAUCUUCGGACAUUGCGCUAAUAGAUGAGCCUAAGUCGGAUUAGCUAGUUGGUGGGGUAAAGGCCUACCAAGGCGACGAUCUGUAGCGGGUCUGAGAGGAUGAGCCGCCACACUGGGACUGAGACACGGCCCAGACUCCUACGGGAGGCAGCAGUGGGGAAUAUUGGACAAUGGGCGGAAGCCUGAUCCAGCCAUGCCGCGUGUGUGAAGAAGGCCUUUUGGUUGUAAAGCACUUUAAGCGAGGAGGAGGCUACCUAGAUUAAUACUCUGGGAUAGUGGACGUUACUCGCAGAAUAAGCACCGGCUAACUCUGUGCCAGCAGCCGCGGUAACAC
rnacentral:rRNA from 1 species